UACGUAGGGGGCUAGCGUUGUCCGGAUUUAUUGGGCGUAAAGAGCGUGUAGGCGGCCAGGUAGGUCUGCUGUGAAAACUCGAGGCUCAACCUCGAGACGUCGGUUGAAACCGUUUGGCUAGGGUCCGGAAGAGGAGAGUGGAAUUCCCGGUGUAGCGGUGAAAUGCGCAGAUAUCGGGAAGAACACCCGUGGCGAAGGCGGCUCUCUGGGACGGUACUGACGCUGAGGAGCGAAAGCGUGGGGAGCGAACAGG
rnacentral:rRNA from 1 species